rnacentral:rRNA from 1 species
ACGCUCGACACCUACGGGAGGCAGCAGUGGGGAAUAUUGCACAAUGGGGGGAACCCUGAUGCAGCGACGCCGCGUGAGUGAAGAAGUACUUCGGUAUGUAAAGCUCUAUCAGCAGGGAANAAAAUGACGGUACCUGACUAAGAACGCCCCGGCUAACUACGUGACAGCAGCCGCGGUAAUCUGAGCGGGCUGGCAAGGC